UCAAGGAAAGAAUUAUCGGACAAGGAUGGGCAUGCGGGACAUUAGGUAGUUGGGGGUGUAACGGACCACCAAGCCGACGAUGUCUAGGGGUUCUGAGAGGAAGGUCCCCCACACUGGUACUGAGACACGGACCAGACUCCUACGGGAGGCAGCAGUGAGGAAUAUUGGACAAUGGAUGGAAAUCUGAUCCAGCCAUGCCGCGUGCAGGAUGACGGCCCUAUGGGUCUUAAACUGCUUUUGUAUGGGAGCAAUAAGCUCUACGUGUAGAGUGAUGAGAGUACCAUACGAAUAAGCAUCGGCUAACUCCGUG
rnacentral:rRNA from 1 species